CUCGUAGGUGGCCAACUAAGUCAGACGUGAAAUCCCUCGGCUUAACCGGGGAACUGCGUCUGAUACUGGAUGGCUUGAGUUUGGGAGAGGGAUGCGGAAUUCCAGGUGUAGCGGUGAAAUGCGUAGAUAUCUGGAGGAACACCGGUGGCGAAGGCGGCAUCCUGGACCAAUACUGACACUGAGGAGCGAAAGCCAGGGGAGCAAACG
rnacentral:rRNA from 1 species